rnacentral:rRNA from 1 species
UACGAAGGGGGCGAGCGUUGUUCGGAUUUACUGGGCGUAAAGGGCGCGCAGGCGGCUCAUUUUGUCAGGCGUGAAAGCCCCGGGCUUAACCUGGGAACUGCGUUUGAUACGGACGGGCUAGAGUUCGGGAGAGGAGAGUGGAAUUCCCAGUGUAGAGGUGAAAUUCGUAGAUAUUGGGAAGAACACCGGUGGCGAAGACGGCUCUCUGGACCGAGACUGACGCUGAGGCGCGAAAGCGUGGGGAGCAAACAGG